UACAGAGGUCUCAAGCGUUGUUCGGAUUCAUUGGGCGUAAAGGGUGCGUAGGCGGCGCGGUAAGUCGGGUGUGAAAUCUCGGAGCUUAACUCCGAAACUGCAUUCGAUACUGCCGUGCUUGAGGACUGGAGAGGAGACUGGAAUUUACGGUGUAGCGGUGAAAUGCGCAGAUAUCAGGAAGAACACCAAUGGCGAAGGCAGUUCUCUGGGACGGUACUGACGCUGAGACGCGAAAGCGUGGGGAGCGAACAGG
rnacentral:rRNA from 1 species